rnacentral:rRNA from 1 species
AACGAACGCUGGCGGCGUGCUUAACACAUGCAAGUCGAACGGAAAGGCCUCUUUCGGGGGGUACUCGAGUGGCGAACGGGUGAGUAACACGUGAGUAACCUGCCCUUGACUUUGGGAUAACUUCAGGAAACUGGGGCUAAUACCGGAUAGGAGCUCCUGCUGCAUGGUGGGGGUUGGAAAGUUUCGGCGGUUGGGGAUGGACUCGCGGCUUAUCAGCUUGUUGGUGGGGUAGUGGCUUACCAAGGCUUUGACGGGUAGCCGGCCUGAGAGGGUGUCCGGCCACAUUGGGACUGAGAUACGGCCCAGACUCCUACGGGAGGCAGCAGUGGGGAAUAUUGCACAAUGGGUGGAAGCCUGAUGCAGCAACGCCGUGUGCGGGAUGACGGCCUUCGGGUUGUAAACCGCUUUCGCUCAUGACGAAGCUUUGUGUGACGGUAGUGGGUAAAGAAGCACCGGCUAACUACGUG